GGUGUGAGGUGUAGGGUGGGUUCUAGGAUUUCGGCUUUAGAUUUUUGUGUGAGAAGAAAUACAAGAGGGUCUUGUUCUAAUCUCCCACACUACCAUCUUCUCACGUAGCUCCAUCUUCUAAUUUGGAAGAGUCCAGAUGAUCCAAAGGAAGAAGCUUAUUCUAGCCAUUCAGUGCCUUCUGCACGAGCUAGCACUCCCGGGAAGGACGAUCCGAUCAGGACUUUGAGUGGAC
rnacentral:lncRNA from 1 species